rnacentral:rRNA from 1 species
UCAGAGCCGGGAAUGAGAAAACCGGUGCAAGCACAAUAGAUGUGCGGGAGGAAAAACCCCCGCAUAAGUCGAAGGUGUGAUGCGGACCGAAAAAGAGUAGGGAAGCUGUUAAGCAAGCCGUCAAGAAAAGCUGCUAUUGUUUCAUUAUGGCCCGUACCGUAAACCGACACAGGUGGAUGGGGAGAGAAUCCUAAGGCCGGCGGAAGAAGUAUUGUUAAGGAACUCGGCAAAAUGACCCCGUAACUUCGGGAGAAGGGGUGCCUGCGAGAGCAGGCCGCAGAGAAGAGGCCCAAGCAACUGUUUAGCAAAAACACAGGUCUAUGCAAAACCGAAAGGUGAGGUAUAUGGGCUGACGCCUGCCCGGUGCUGGAAGGUUAAGGGGAGUGGUCAGGAAACGAAGCCACGAACUUAAGCCCCAGUAAACGGCGGCCGUAACUAUAACGGUCCUAAGGUAGCGAAAUUCCUUGUCGGGUAAGUUCCGACCCGCACGAAAGGCGUAAUGAUUUGGGCGCUGUCUCGACAAUACAUCCGGUGAAAUUGAAGUGCCAGUGAAGAUGCUGGCUACCUGCGCCAGGACGGAAAGACCCCAUGGAGCUUUACUCCAGCUUGAUACUGGGACCCGGUAUUGCAUGUACAGGAUAGGUGGGAGGCUAGGAAAUGUGGACGCCAGUCUGCAUGGAGCCGCCGUUGGGAUACCACCCUUGUGGUGCCGGGUUUCUAACCAUAGGCCGUGAACCGGUCUGGGGACAAUGUCAGGUGGGGAGUUUGACUGGGGCGGUCGCCUCCGAAAGGGUAUCGGAGGCGCCCAAAGGUUCCCUCAGAAUGGUUGGAAACCAUUCGAAGAGUGCAAAGGCAGAAGGGAGCUUGACUGCGACACCGACGGGUGGAGCAGGUACGAAAGUAGGGCUUAGUGAUCCGGUGGAAUUUAAGUGGGAAUGCCAUCGUUCAACGGAUAAAAGCUACCCUGGGAUAACAGGCUGAUCACUCCCAAGAGUUCACAUCGACGGAGUGGUUUGGCACCUCGAUGUCGGCUCAUCGCAUCCUGGGGCUGAAGUCGGUCCCAAGGGUUGGGCUGUUCGCCCAUUAAAGCGGUACGCGAGCUGGGUUCAGAACGUCGUGAGACAGUUCGGUCCCUAUCCGGCGUGGGCGUAGGAUAUCUGAGAGGAGCUGUCCUUAGUACGAGAGGACCGGGAUGGACUGACCUCUGGUGUACCGGUUGGCGAUCAACGCCACGGCCGGGUAGCCAUGUCGGGACGGGAUAAACGCUGAAGGCAUCUAAGCGUGAAGCCCCCCUCAAGAUGAGAUAUCCCAUCGUAAGAGUAAGACCCCUUGAAGACGACGAGGUUGAUAGGGCAGGGGUGGAAGUGCUGUAAGGCAUGGAGCUGACUGCUACUAAUCGGUCGAGGGCUUGAUC